rnacentral:rRNA from 1 species
UACAGAGGGGGCAAGCGUUGUUCGGAAUUAUUGGGCGUAAAGAGCUCGUAGGCGGUUUGUUGCGUCGGCUGUGAAAUCCCGAGGCUCAACCUCGGGUCUGCAGUCGAUACGAGCAAACUAGAGUGUUGCAGGGGAGACUGGAAUUCCUGGUGUAGCGGUGAAAUGCGCAGAUAUCAGGAGGAACACCGGUGGCGAAGGCGGGUCUCUGGGCAACAACUGACGCUGGAGGAGCGAAAGCGUGGGGAGCGAACAGG